ACUGAAGUAAAAGCGGCCAGUGAGGCUGACUCGCUGGCCAAAAUAAGAAAAUGGUGGCGUCCGUUAUGCAAUAACGAAACUCGUGCUGCCGAAGUUGCUCUCUAUUUUGGUACGCUGCAUACCUUCAGAUUCAGCAGUCCCUUAAAUUGUGGGAGCCUUCUAAAAUCUGCCCACGAAUAGCGAUUUCAGACGCUUCACUUGACUGCUUCUUUCUUCUGUGGGACGGCAUCAUAACUAUGUCAAGUUUAAGAAGUUUAUUUGGAGUUGCCGGCAGGUGCCUCAACGUGGUAUGCAGGGGCCUAUCCGUGCAGCCCUGCCAACUGCUACAACCAUUAACUGUAUCAACAGAGUUUCAGCAAAUGAGGACCCUGAUGCACCGUUUUUUUCCACGUCCGAGCGAGCACAGGAGACUCGCCAAACAUGGCUUCAAGAAACGCAUCUCCACUAAGAGUGGAAGAAGAGUUCUUUUUCGUCGUAUGCUUAAAGGAAGGCACGUCCUGUCCCAUUAACACUCAAUUUCACCAUGCAUUAAAUCAAUAUAGUAUUAGUCACCAAUAAACUGUUUUGAACUAUG